rnacentral:sRNA from 1 species
CUUGUUUUAAGCAACUAAUAUAGCUUGUUCUGAACUCUUAUCAGGAGUUGAUUCUAGCAGCCAAUGGUAAUAUUCAUACAUAAUGCUAGGUGCGCUGGACUCAACAAUGAGAAUAGCAGUGGAUAUUGUAUUUGUAUUUGGUGGGGUGGAACUUCUGUGACUCUUUACUUUUAAGACGUUCCAGUAACUUCUAUAUAGAGGCCAGUGGGACAGAUAUUGCGUGGUGGAAAACGCAUUUGGAUGCUAGUCAGUCAUCUGUGAAAGGAAGAGGUGACAUGGUUAAUGGGUUUUGUGCUGCCAGGGUAUUGAGAUGCGACAUUUAACAAUGACGAAAUAAGGAAUGGAGAGGUCGCAUUUGAAGAGUAGUAGGCAAGGAUGAAACAGUCACAGAGUCGACAGAGAGAGUAUUACAAAGAUAGAAGAUACUUAUGGUCAGUCUUGAAAAAGGGAAAGGGUAGGAGACACACCAGCCUGGCAGCACCAACUGGUAUAAAUGGUCAUGUGAAUGUGGCAUGGCACCUUAUUAGAGCUAGAGAUGUUCUGGGCUCAGAGCUAUUCUUGAAGUUGAGCUAUUUUGGCAAUCAUACUUGGUGUUCAGGUGAGGAUUGUGGAGAGACUGGUGAAAUAGUGGGAGAAAUAGAAGAAUGUAAGGAACAAGGGUAGGAGGAACUGAGAAAUGAUCGUCUACACUCAGAGCUUCUAGUUUGAUUAAAGACAAAUGACCAAGGACAAUGAAAC